AUGGGCGUGCGCUCAAAGGAUACAAACAGGGAUUCGCAAACAAAAAGGGGAAUUCGUAGUCACUUUUUCCUGUCGCGUAAAGAUCCAUAA
rnacentral:rRNA from 1 species